rnacentral:rRNA from 1 species
UACGAAGGGGGCUAGCGUUGCUCGGAAUGACUGGGCGUAAAGGGGCGCGUAGGCGGCUUGACAUAGUCAGAAUGUGAAAUUCCUGGGCUUAACCUGGGGGCUGCAUUUUGAUACGUGUGGGCUUGAGUGCGGAAGAGGGUCGUGGAAUUCCCAGUGUAGAGGUAGAAAUUCGUAGAUAUUGGGAAGAACACCGGUGCCGAGGCGGCGACCUGGUCCG